rnacentral:rRNA from 1 species
UACGAAGGUGGCAAGCGUUGUUCGGAUUCACUGGGCGUACAGGGUGUGUAGGCGGUUUGGUAAGCCUUCUGUUAAAGCUUCGGGCCCAACCCGGAAAGCGCAGAGGGUACUGCCAGGCUAGAGGACGGGAGAGGAGCGCGGAAUUCCCGGUGUAGCGGUGAAAUGCGUAGAGAUCGGGAGGAAGGCCGGUGGCGAAGGCGGGUCUCUGGGCCGAUAUCGACGCUGAGGAGCGAAAGCGUGGGGAGCGAACAGG